rnacentral:lncRNA from 1 species
AAAUCACUGAGGAAUUUGAAGAUGAUGAAAUAAAACCUAUAUAUUUGAAAUGGAAAUUGCUGAUGAGCCCUUGAAACUUGCUACUCGUUUGUUGCCUUGUGGAACAGUGGUUUUCUCUUAAAAAGAUAUGAUUUUCUGCAACACAGGCCCAAAAUCUUUAUUUUUAUGUGCAUUUUUUUGCUUCUUAAAAUGUAAUUGGCCAGGUACGUCUUGUGAUCUGUGCAGAUUAUCACCUAAAUCAAUAUUCAGUAAUAAUUGGAAUUAAAGGAUGGGAAAAAAUUACAAGACUGGGAUCAUCCAGAAAGAAUUAAAAGAACAGUGAAAUUUAAGCAGGGUAGGAUAGGUGCUAUACACGGGGGAAGAGACAACAGGCGAGUAUAAUCUUGGAGUUGGAAAAGUAAGUGGUAGGUUUGGAAGAUAAUUAAUAAACUCGCCUUAGAGGAGGUUUGGAAAGGUGAGUGCAAGAAAAUUGUUUUGGGGAAGCUGUGUAAUCCCAGAUUAAGAAGACUGGACUUUGUCCUUUGGGCAGCAAUUCUCAAACUAGAGCACACUUCAGAAUCUGCUGGAGGGUUUAUGAAAACUCAGAAUCAACUGGAGGGAUUAUGAGAACAUUAUUGGCCCUAUUUUCACCCAUGGUUUCUGAUUCAGGGGUCUGAAUUGAGGCCUAAGAAUUUCCCUUUCUCAUAGUUCUUAAGUGUUUCUGUUCCAUGGAACACACUUGGAGAAUUACCCUCCUAAGUUGUGGGGAACUCUGGAAGAAUUUGAGAAGGAGAGUAAGGAAAUCACAUGCAUAUUUCAGGAUAAGUCUUGUUAUGAAGUCUGAGAGGAGAACUGGGGAAGGAGAGAGCUGGAAAAGAAGAAAGUUCCUUAGAGUUAGCUAGCAUCUGCAUGAUGCUGGGCCCUGUGCCAGGCUCACUCAUGCACACGCUCUCAUUCAUCUUUCCCAUUACCCUCAUGCAUAGGUCUGAAUGUCUUCAUUUUGGACAUGAAGAAACUGAAAGAAUAUGAGAAAUUUCUCAGGAAACAUAUCUGGUCUCAGAGCCCCCUAAGACUAUGCAGAUUUGAACUAGGUUGGUAGCAGUGGGAAUGAAUCCAAACAUUUAAUGGUGAUGGAAUUUAGGAAAAUAGGAGACUUCCCUUGCUAAAUGGGACCUAAAAGUAGAAUUGGGAAAUCUGAGUCUUACUGGAAACAUGAUGAAAGGUAAAGUGGACACAGAACUUUAGAGAAUCUCUGCAUGAAUUCAGUAUGUGUUCUAUAUUACUCUUACAUAAUGAUGACUGUUUAAAGCCUAUUUAAAAGUUUCGUAUUUAAAAAGACAUCCUACUCUACAAAAACUUCCUGAAGUUAUUUGAAAAGGAGACAGCAAAGCCUUCUGUAGGAGUGGUGGGAGAUGGUGAAUAGAUUGAUGGCAUCUGACAGCUUAUCUUCAAAUCAAAAGUGAUUAGCAUUGAGAAAUGGAAACACAUGGGAUAACACUGAAUUGCCUGUAUGAAUUGUGCUGCACUGUAGACACUGACCUAAUGUAUUGAUUUUGGAAAUCCUGUGUGCUUUUUCUUGCCAGAGUAGUUAUUGAAAUUGAGAAUAUUCAUUGGAUCAAUUUCAAGACAAAUAUCCCAAGUCAGACUGGCUGAUGCUGAGCUAAUUUUUAAUGAAGAAAAAUAUCCAUAUGUUAAAAUGAGAAUUUAAAAAGAAAGUUCUUACCUCUAUACUUACUGCACAAUCUAGAAAAAAUGUAUGUUUUCAAAACAUUGAGUAAUCAGUGUAAUGGCAUUAUGGACCCACGCAAAAUUAGAGCACAUAUUCAUACAUUUAUUCUGUGAGAAAUGAACUUUGCUGUGGAGACAAAGAUACCUUAGAGUCUAGGGAAGACUGCCAUCUUAAAUGACCACAGCACAGUGUGAUGAGCACUGUAAGAGAGGACUAUGGCCAGCACUGAUGGCAGGAGAUAUGAGUGAACUGAAGGUGUGAGGAAAGGAAGCCAGGGAACUCUUCUGUAGGAGACACUUGAGUUGGUUCUUGAAGGCUGAGAAAGAAUAUGUGAUCUGAUUAAAGGAGAGAAGGACAUUCUGGCCAGACAAAACAUUAUAGAUGACAGCCACACUGUAUGAAAGAGUGUAGCUUUUUCUGGAACCUGUGUGCUGAUCAUAGUGGUUAUAGUAAUGUGGUAAAAGUUG